rnacentral:lncRNA from 1 species
CAUCAGCCCCAUUCUAGCCCUAAUUGGCUAUCUAUUCAAACUGGAUGCUAUGACCAGUCAUUUCACUGAUGACCUCAUCAGCACUCAUAAGUUCCUUGUUUGUCCUGUGGAUACAUCAUAAUCACCUGGAAGAACUUGCUAGCAACAUGUUGGGGGAGACAAACCUCCAGGGAAUAUAAUAACUUUAGAUGUGGAAUGUUGCCUGGAAAUUUGCCCUUGUAACGAGAUCCCCAGAUGAUUCCAGUAGCAGAAAAUACAGAUGAUAGAGGAACAAGUUACAUGAUGCUACAUAGAAAAAAAUCUAACAAGUCCAGAACGUGAGUCAUUCUAUACAGGACAACUAGCCCAACUUUAUCAAGUCAAAGAACAAGAUGUAUCAACAUUUGGAAGAUCUGCAUAACUUGAUGGAUCAAUGCUUUCCACAUGACUAAUGCACAAUAUUACAAAAUCACACAUGGGUAAAAGAUUCAUUUAAAGUGCAAAAUAAACCAAUGGAUUUUAAUGUACAAGAGACUAGGAAGGGUUUAUUUAUUUGGUUUUAGAUUUUACAUUGCAUGCAACUUAUAAGAAAUUACUACUUGUUGAGUUUUGGUUAAGUAUUAAAAAAAGAAUAACCACAAAUAUAUGUGCUAUUAAAUAGUCCUCCUUUCUCACAUUAUAUAUCUAUGUAAAGCCAGAUUUGCCUUCUACAGCUUGACCAAGACAACAUAGUACAUACAACAGAGUGAAUAAAGAGGCAGAUAUAGGAAUCCAGCUGCCUUCUAUUAAACCAGUUAUUAGUUAUAAAAAUGUAAAAUAAAACCACUCAAUUUUUUUUGGCAAAAUGGUUAUUUUUUUCUAAAAUGUA